UUCCAAUGAACAAAUAGUCUGUUGGGGAAUUUCGAUAUUCCACUCUCAAAGUAGCUUGUACAUCAGUGGUUCCCUGAAUAUGUCCUGAUACACCAACAUAUGCAGUAACAUAAUAAGUGGAACCUGGAGAAACAAUGCUUGUGAUAUCUUGCUCCAAGCCCUGCCAACUUUCUGUUCGAUUUGAGACAACUGCAUAAUAACCACCUCGCUUUGUUAAGAAUGCUGGGUGACCUGACUCUGCUGAAACCACAGAGAAACUGCAGCCAUUUGCGUGCCAAGAAUGCUGUCCUUGAGAGAAGUCAUGGUUCGUUAUGACAUUGAUGGUGGUGUUGCCACUUGAACCAGAUAUGCCUUGGUCCAUUAUGGUCUUGAUAGCAGUGUCACCAUAUGAACCAACAGUGCUCUGGUCCAUUGUGAUAUUGAUGGCACCGCUGCUACUUCUACAAGACAUGCCAUGGUCCCUUCUGAUAUUGGCGAUAUCGCUGCUACUUGAACUAACUUUGCCCUGAUCCAUUAUAUUAAAGUUUGAGCAACUUUGAAAUAUCUAUGUAAAAACAUGUAAAGAUUAUUCAAUAGAACAUUCAUAAUAAUAAUAUAACAACAGCAACAUUACAACAAUUGAGGUUUUCGCACUAAAUUUUAAUGGAGAAAAAAUUGCCGCUGCAUUAAAAUUUAGGCUAAUUUAUUUAAAAAGACCCAAUAUUUAUAUGUAUUUACAUUUUAAUUUAAUUCUUUCAAUUUUAGUUUAAUUAACUCAACCUUUAUAUUUUAGUAUAAUUUUAGCCUAUUUACAAAAUUUUAAAUUUAAUAGUCUAACUGGUAUCAAGUAUGUGUAUAUUAUUAUUAUUUAAUUGGUUAAUUAAUUAAAAAAGGCCAAAUAUUUAUUAUUUUAUAUUUUAAUUCAAACGUUUAAAUUUUAAAUAAAUGGAUUUAAUAUUUAUGUUUGAUUAUAAUUUUGAUUAAUUUUUAAAAUUAAAAUUAAAAAUAAAUAAUUUAAUUAUUAAAUAUGUAGUUCACAAUUUUAACUGAUAAAUUUUAUUUUACCGUAAUAAUUAUAAAUAUUUUAUAAUAAAUAUAUUAUUUAAUUCAAAAUUGUAGUAUAUAUAAAAUAAUUAAAAAUAAUAUAUUUAUUAUAAAAUUUUUAUAAUUAUUAAUACAAAAUAAAAUUUAUCUACUGUUAAAUGUUGAUAGCAUAUUAAAUAGUUAGAUUAUUAUUAUUUUUAAAAUUAAAUAUAUCAUUUAAAAUUACACUCUAGCAUUGCUCAAUUCAUCCAAAAUUUAAAUAUUUGAAUUAAAACGUAAAAUGAUGUAAACAAUAAAUUUUUAUAGUAAUUUGAUUAUUAGUUUAUAAUUAAAUAGUAAUAAUACACAUAACAUACUAAUUAAACUAUCAAAUUUAAAAAUUUACAUAUUAAUUAAAAUUGCAUCAAAACAUAAAGGUUAGAUUAAUUAAAUUAAAAUUAAAAAAAUUAAAUUAAAAUGUAAAUAUAUAUAAACUUUGAGUCUUUUUAAGUCAAUUGAUCUAAAAUUUAUUGUAAAAUACUAAAAUUUUACCACUAAGACUCCAUUUGUUUGGAGAAAAUAACUUGUAAUUGGAAAAUAUUUUUAAUUUAUAAAAAAAAUAAAAUAUAUUAACAAUUUAUAUAUAAGAUCUUAAUAAGAUUCUUAAAAUAGGAAAAAUGACUUACUUUUUUAAAAAAUCAAAAUUUAUUUUUAAAAUAAUUUAUUUUUUUUGGUAAAAAAAUAUUUUUUAUUGACUAAAUUUUUUAAAUACCUUAUCUAUUAAAAAAAUAUUUUUCUAAAACAUAUUUUUCAGUGAAAUAAAAGAAGAGUAAUUAUAAAAAAUCAUUAUUAAAACUUUUAACGUUAUAUUUUUUGUAGUGAUUUAAUGACUGAACUUGAAUUUUAUCUCUCAAUACUCUAGGGGUGAAUUUUACACAUUUAAUAAUAAUUUUUAUUUUUAUAAAAAGUUAAUUUCUUGUAAUCUAACAAUAAAAAAAUAUAAACAAAAAGUUUAACAUUAAAAUUGGAGGAAAAAUUUUUCUAUAUAAAGUUUAUAUAGACCAAUUCAUAUGAAACUAUAUAAAUUUAACACUAUAAAUCUAUAAGAUCUGAUCUAGAGAUAAGAAUUAUCGGUAAAUUUAGUUUAACUAACCUCAAUUGUUGGACGAGAGGAGGGAGGUACUUUCUCAGCAUGCUUUAGAAAAAAGCCGUUCACAAGAAUAUCAGUGCCUGCAGGUGGACCUUCUAUGAAAAUCACUACCUUUGUAGGGUAAUCAUUUAGAUGGAAUUUUCCCUUUAACUGUAUCCACUCUUUAUCUGUUGUCUGCAUACUACAGUUUCAAAAAGAUAAUCAUGAAAAUAAAUCAAGAAAAUGGUAAAAAAAAUCUAAAUAAUUUGAUUUGGUUAAUGAAAAUGAUGGAGAUAAUAUAACUAAAUAAAUCUUAAAACCUGGCGUUAUAAUCUAUAUCGAUAUUAAAUAUAAUAAAGUUUAACUCUAAAAUUAAGUUUUUCUAAAAGUAAAUGGGAAAGUAUAAUUUAAAAUCUCUCAAAUUUAUUCAGAUGCAUUUAUAAUCAGGCUAAAUCUGUGAGUGUAUAAGUCUUUUUAUUAUAUUUUUUAUAUUAGUUAAUUUUUCUCUUAUUUUAUUAUUACUUCCUCUCUACUAAAAGAAGAAAUGCCUUUAAAUUUUUAAAAAAUAUGAUAAAAAUAACUUUAAGUAUUCUAUUUGAGUUACUCAAGUAAAUAAUGGCUAAAGUAAGUGUCUAGAUGAUAAAUAAAGCCAUCUGACUCAGAGGGUUGAAUUAAGAAAAUGAUGUUUGCAGAAAUUGAAGGUGAUAAAAGAAUAUUAUAUAUGGAGAUAAUUAGAGGGAAAAAGAGCUAACUUGGCAAUGCCUAUGUAUUCUUCUUGGAGAUCUGUUGUUUGGACGCAUAAAGUAACUCGCACAUCAGCACUGCUAACAUUGUUGCCAAAGAUACGAACCACAGCAAUGGCCUCAUAAGCUUGCUUUGCCUGUACUUUUCCAGUUAUCUCCUGCUCGAUUCCGUUCCAGCUCUGGGUACGCUCAGUUGCACAUGCAAAAACUUUUCCAAACAGGGGGACAAUUUUCCCACAAGCCAAUGAUUCAUGUAAGACAAGCUUGCAGCCUCUUCCAGACCACUUGUUCAGGCCAUCCUCAAAUUUAGGAUUUGCCAUGAUGUUCCCUUUUCCAUAUCCAGUGUCCACAAAUUGAUAAUUACUUGUUUCCUUUUGAUAACUUGUUUUCUCUUGAUAGCUUGUUUCCUUUUGAUAGCUUGUUUCCUUUCCAUAUCAAAAUGAAGAAAAUUUUACAAAUUUAUCAUCACAAAAAUGUAUAAAUAAAAUUAAUAAAUAGGUUUAAGAAGAAAAAUUACAUGGAAUUCACUUGGAGGGGAACUGGUAAUAACGACUGAUUGUACAAGCAAGUCCACUGCAGGAGAAGGGCCUUCCAAGUAAAAAAGGACACGAUCAGGCUUCUUUGGCAGGGAGAAUUUUCCUUCCAACUUUUCCCACCUUUCCUUUGACAGAGAAAUUCUGCAGGGAUAUAUAACUUACAUUAAGACAAUCUGUAUGUUUCAUUUAAGGAAGAAAUGCAAUAAAAUGAAGCAACAAAUCUAUUACCUUCCAAUGAACAAAUAGUCUGUUGGGGAAUUUCGAUAUUCCACUCUCAAAGUAGCUUGCACAUCAGUGGUUCCUUGAAUAUUUCCUGAUACACCAACAUAUGCAGUAACAUAAUAAGUGGAACCUGGAGAAACAAUGCUUGUGAUAUCUUGCUCCAAGCCCUGCCAACUUUCUGUUCGAUUCGAGACAACUGCAUAAUAACCACCUC
rnacentral:lncRNA from 1 species